UUUCCGUAGGUGAACCUGCGGAAGGAUCAUUAAAAGAUUUAGCAUAUUCUUCUGAAUAUACUUCAUUAACCCAUUCCGAGUACCUUACCCGUUGCUUCCGCGAGGCUGUCCUCACGGCCCUUUGAAGAUUUAUCGUUGGAGAGUCCUUGCGGGAGGUAUACAAUAAACUCUUGCAUUACCAUGUCGUCUGUCUGAAUCUGUUUAAAACAAAUAUUAAAACUUUCAACAACGGAUCUCUUGGUUCUC
rnacentral:misc_RNA from 1 species